UAUCAGUCAUGCAUAGCAUAUCAAUAAGCGGAGGAAAAGAAACUAACAAGGAUUCCCUAGUAACAGCGAGUGAAGCGGGAAGAGCUCAAAUUUGAAAUCUUAAAGGGUUUCCCUUGACGAAUUGUAGUUUAUAGAAGUGUUUUCUGUUAGUGGAGUUCGGUAAAAGUUCUUUGGAAUAGGACAUCAUAGAGGGUGAGAAUCCCGUAUUUGACCGUUACUUUCCUAGCUGUGUGAUACACUUUCAAAGAGUCGGAUUGUUUGGGAAUGCAGUCCAAAAUGGGUGGUAAAUUUCAUCUAAAGCUAAAUAUUGGCGAGAGACCGAUAGCGAACAAGUACCGUGAGGGAAAGAUGAAAAGAACUUUGAAAAGAGAGUUAAACAGUACGUGAAAUUGUCAAAAGGGAAGCGUUUGACACCAGUGUUGUUUUUCCGAAAAUCAAUUACGAAUGUUUUGUUUUUGAGGAGUUAUGACUUCAUCGGCUUGCUUCUUUCUUUAUGAAACUUUCUUAAUGCACUUUUCGGUUAACAAGUCAACAUCAAUUUCUUUUGUUGUAAAAGGGUUAUGAGGAAGGUGGCUUUCUCUUCGGAGAAAGUGUUUAUAGCCUUGUAGCCUCUGCAAUCGGAGAGAUUGAGGUCUGCGGCGUAGAUCCUUCGGGGUUAGAUACAUUUGUGCUAAGUUAUAGUCUUUUAUAGACAACUUGUUGACUAUGAUUGAUCUUGUACCUUACUCGCUUAUGCUAUUUUACCUACGCUUAGGAUGUUGAUCUCUCACAGUCGAGC
rnacentral:rRNA from 1 species